rnacentral:rRNA from 1 species
CAGAGACUGCAAGCGUUAUUCGGAUUCACUGGGCGUAAAGGGUGCGCAGGCGGUCGUGUGUGUCAGAUGUGAAGUCCCGGAGCUUAACUCCGGAACUGCGUCUGAAACUACAUGACUAGAGCAUUGGAGAGGGAAGUGGAAUUCAUGGUGUAGCAGUGAAAUGCGUAGAUAUCAUGAGGAACACCAGAGGCGAAGGCGACUUCCUGGACAAUUGCUGACGCUCAGGCACGAAAGCAUGGGGAGCAAAAGGGAUUAGAUACCCCUGUAGUCCAUGCCCUAAACGGUGCACACUAGGUCUUGGAGGAUUCGACCCCUUCAGGGCCCAAGCUAACGCGUUAAGUGUGCCGCCUGAGGACUACGGUCGCAAGACUA